UGCAAGUGUCUCAGCCCCCAUCCUUUCCCAGGCUCCAGGAUGGUGGUCUUGAGGAUCACUGAGGUCCCAAGGAUGGCAGCCCUCAUGAUGUCCUUGGUGAUGCUGAGCUCCCCUUUGGUUCAGAGCAGAGACAGCCUAGGUCUCUGAUGGUUGUUGCUGAGGAGUGUCCUGCAGUCAUAAGAACCACAAGGGCCUGUCUGGGAAAUGCCUGUAGGGACUCUCCCCAAGUAAUAGGGACCCAGCCGGUGAUUCGGAAAUAACAAAGUGCUCAAAGAAUGCCUGUUGAAGUGUUUCUCCUUCUCAUCC